CCUCAGUUGACGAAAAGAAGUAAUGGUCUCUUAAACCAAAAAAUAGUAAAUUAACAAAUACUUCUGAUGA
rnacentral:tRNA from 1 species